rnacentral:rRNA from 1 species
GUAGGGAAUCUUCCACAAUGGACGAAAGUCUGAUGGAGCAACGCCGCGUGAGUGAAGAAGGUCUUCGGAUCGUAAAACUCUGUUGUUAGAGAAGAACGUGCAUGAUAGUAACUGAUCAUGUAGUGACGGUAUCUAACCAGAAAGCCACGGCUAACUACGUGCCAGCAGCCGCGGUAAUACGUAGGUGGCAAGCGUUGUCCGGAUUUAUUGGGCGUAAAGGGAACGCAGGCGGUUUUUUAAGUCUGAUGUGAAAGCCUUCGGCUUAACCGAAGAAUAGCAUUGGAAACUGGAAGACUUGAGUGCAGAAGAGGAGAGUGGAAUUCCAUGUGUAGCGGUGAAAUGCGUAGAUAUAUGGAGGAACACCAGUGGCGAAAGCGGCUCUCUGGUCUGUAACUGACGCUGAGGUUCGAAAGCGUGGGUAGCAAACAGGAUUAGAUACCCCAGUAGUCC